UACGGGGGGAGCAAGCGUUGUUCGGAAUCACUGGGCGUAAAGGGAGUGUAGGCGGUUCGGUAAGGGGGAUGUGAAAUCCCCGGGCUCACCCCGGGACCUGCAUCUCAUACUGCUGAGCUUGAGUACAGGAGAGGGUGGGGGAAUUCCUGGUGUAGCGGUGAAAUGCGUAGAUAUCAGGAGGAACACCGGUGGCGAAGGCGCCCACCUGGCCUGCUACUGACGCUGAUGCUCGAAAGCUAGGGGAGCAAACGGG
rnacentral:rRNA from 1 species